rnacentral:rRNA from 1 species
UACGGAGGAUGCAAGCGUUAUCCGGAUUUAUUGGGUUUAAAGGGUGCGUAGGCGGGACUGUAAGUCAGGGGUGAAAUACUGCAGCUUAACUGUAGCAUUGCCUUUGAAACUGCCGUUCUUGAGUACAGUUGAGGUAGGCGGAAUGUGGUGUGUAGCGGUAAAAUGCAUAGAUAUACCACAGAACGCCGAUUGCGAAGGCGGCUCCCUGGACUGUAACUGACACUGAGGCACGAAAGCGUGGGGAGCAAACAGGAUUAGAUACCCCCGUA